UACGUAGGGUGCAAGCGUUGUCCGGAUUUAUUGGGCCUAAAGCAUCCGUAGCCGGUCUUGCAAGUCUUCCGUUAAAUCCACCUGCUUAACAGAUGGGCUGCGGAAGAUACUACAAGACUAGGAGGCGGGAGAGGCAAGCGGUACUCAGUGGGUAGGGGUAAAAUCCUCUGAUCCAUUGAAGACCACCAGUGGCGAAGGCGGCUUGCCAGAACGCGCUCGACGGUGAGGGAUGAAAGCUGGGG
rnacentral:rRNA from 1 species